rnacentral:ncRNA from 1 species
GAGCGGUUGAUUCGUCCUGCAUGUGGAAAUUGGCGGACAUAAGAAAGGCAAAAAGCCGAGAAAUCAUAAAAUCUCGGAUGGCGAAGC